UGACGAUCAUAGAGGCGUUGAACCACCUGAUCCCAUCCCGAACUCAGAAGUGAAAGGCGCCAUCGCCGAUGGUAGUGUGGGGGAUCCCAUGUGAGAGUAGGUCGUCGUCA
rnacentral:rRNA from 1 species